UGCGGCUGUGCCAGAUUCAUGCCUGCCCUGCCCUGGUGAGCACUGGCCCAGAGGCUGCGGUAGAAACUGUCCUUCUUGGGCCCAGACUGUG